AUUUUGGAGGUUUUACGUGAUUCCUAUUAAGAACUCAUCGGUUAUCCCUCUAAGACCCACUAGAUACUGCUAUUGCGGGAAACGUGGUUAUCUUUUAUUAUUAAUUAAUGCAUCAAACGGCUGCCUUGGCAUUCAAAAAUCUAGUUGUGUAGUGCAAAAAGCAGAUUUGAACUCUUUGUUAUAAAAUCUGAUUGCUUUCAAAAAAAUUUAUUUUUUAGAAAAAUCUAAAGUGGGUGAAGUAAAACAUUCUAGUAACCCAUUAAAAAAUAAAUCAAACGAGAUGCCGUUAGUAGUGGCGAGCGAAUACGGUGUUAGGCAUAAACUUUUAUCAAGAUACGAAUAACUACCAAAGAAGGUGAAAGUCCUGUAGUGUUAAGAGACAAGUUUUCUUUACUGGCGAAUUAUGAUAAAUUUGCUUUUAUUUUGGGGAUCUUCCCUCAAGCCUAAUUAUUUUGAAUGACCGAUAGUGAACAAGUACCGUGAGGGAAAGGUGAAAAAGAACUUCUUUAGAGUUAAAAAGAACCUAAAAUUUGAUGCAGACAAUCUGUUGGAGCUUUAAAUAGUUACAGCGUACCUUUUGCAUAAUGGGCCAGCAAGUUUAUGUUUAUGGCAAGCUUAAUAUUAAUGUAGGCGUAGAAAAAACAAGUUUUAAAAUGCGUAAUACAGUCAUAAGCAUAAGACCCGAAGCUGAGUGAUCUAACCAUGAGCAGGUUGAAGGUUUUGCGGAAACGCAAACUGGAGGACCGAACCCGUUUCUGUUGAAAAAGAUUGGGAUGACUUGUGGUUUGGAGUGAAAGGCUAAUCAAACUCAGUUAUAGCCGGUUUUCUGCGAAAUAUAUUUUAGUAUAGCCUUCAAACAAUGAAUAGUAGGGUAGAGCACUUUUAGAACACGGGGGGUUUUUAAUCUUACUUACUUUUAAAAAACUCCGAAUAUGCUAUUUUUUUUGAGGAGUCAGACUAUAGGCGCUAAGGUUUAUAGUCGAGAGGGAAACAGCCCUGACUAUUUGAUAAGGACUUAAAUUAUUGCUUAAGUGAUAAGAGAGUAAAAAAAUUAAGACAGUCAUAAAGUAGGCUUGGAAGCAGCCAUCUUUUUAAGAAAGCGUAACAGCUCAUUGACCGAGUAUUUUUGCCUCGAAAAUUUAUAGAGACUAAAAGCAUUAUCCGAAUCAAUAGAAUAUUUUUUGGUAGCAGAACGUUUUGUAUGUUGGAAGGUUGGUUGUGAAAUCAACUGGAGAUAUCAAAAGUGAGGAUGCUGGCAUUAGUAGCCAAAACAAUGUUUAAUCAUUGUCGCCGAAAAUCCAAGGUUUUCGAUUCGACGUUUAAUGGAAUCGAAUGUUAUUCGGCCCUUUAGGCAAAUUACAAAAGUAUAAGCUGAUAGGAAAAGCAAAAAUGUGACAGAGGUUUAGUAAUAUUAUUAUCUUAAUGAUUUGAUUUAGUAUUUUCGACCUCUCUGGAAAUAGCAUUUUGCGCUAGAACCGUACCCUAAACCGACACAGGUGGAUAAGUAUAGUAUACUAAGGCGUUCAAGACAACUACGUUGAAGGAACUCGGCAAAUUGGCUCUGUAACUUCGGAAUAAAGAGUGACAUUAUUAGGGAAACCUUUUAUUGUUGGCACUAAAGAGGGAGAAGCGACUGUUUAUUAAAAACACAAGUCUCUGCUAAUUCGAAAGAAGAUGUAUAGGGACUGACACCUGCCCGGUGCUGAAAGGUAAUGUGAAUGUGCUACGGCAUUGAAAUUAAGCCUCAGUAAACGGCGGCUGUAACUCUGACGGUCCAAAGGUAGCGAAAUUCCUUGUCGGGUAAGUUCCGACCUGCAUGAAUGGUGUAACGACUUCUCCGCUGUCUCCAACGUAGGCUUGGUGAAAUUGAAAUGCCCGUGAAGAUGCGGGCUACUUGCAGUUAGACGGAAAGACCCCGUGCACCUUUACUAUGAUUUCAGGUUGUAAAGUUAAAUUAUUUGUGUAGAAUAGGUGGGAGCAUCUGCGACAGUGAAAUACCACCCUUAUUAUUUAACUAUACUAACUCUUUUUGAGGACAGUCUGUGAGAGGUAGUUUGACUGGGGCGGUCACCUCCUAAAAAGUAACGGAGGUGUGCAAAGGCAAAUUCAAAUAAACUUUUAUUUUAGAGCGUAAUGGCUUAUAUUUGCUUGACUGUAAGAUCGACAGAUCAAACAGGGAUGAAAGUCGGCCAUAGUGAUCCGGUGGUUCUUCGUGGAAAGGCCAUCGCUCAACGGAUAAAAGGUACGCCGGGGAUAACAGGCUGAUGGUUUCUGAGAGUCCUUAUCGACGAGACCGUUUGGCACCUCGAUGUCGGCUCAUCACAUCCUGGAGCUGAAGCAGGUUCCAAGGGUUCGGCUGUUCGCCGAUUAAAGUGGUACGUGAGCUGGGUUUAGAACGUCGUGAGACAGUUCGGUCCCUAUCUGCUGCAAGCGCUAAAAAUUGAGGGGACUAGAUUCUAGUACGAGAGGACCGAAUCACGCAAACCAAUUGUGUUUCGAUUGUUUUAUCAAAAGCAUUGUCGAGUAGCUACGUUUGUAAAGGAUAAUUGCUGAAUGCAUAUAAGCAAAAAGCCUUCCCCAAGAUAAAUUUUUUAAAAUCGUAAGAUAUUAUUACGUUGAUAGGCUUAAAAUGUAAGAGCUGUAAGGCUUUUAGUUUAUAAGUACUAAUUUUUGUUUUAUUUUU
rnacentral:rRNA from 1 species